AACGGCGUCGAGCGGCGGACGGGUGAGUAAUGCCUAGGAAAUUGCCCUGAUGUGGGGGAUAACCAUUGGAAACGAUGGCUAAUACCGCAUGAUGCCUACGGGCCAAAGAGGGGGACCUUCGGGCCUCUCGCGUCAGGAUAUGCCUAGGUGGGAUUAGCUAGUUGGUGAGGUAAGGGCUCACCAAGGCGACGAUCCCUAGCUGGUCUGAGAGGAUGAUCAGCCACACUGGAACUGAGACACGGUCCAGACUCCUACGGGAGGCAGCAGUGGGGAAUAUUGCACAAUGGGCGCAAGCCUGAUGCAGCCAUGCCGCGUGUGUGAAGAAGGCCUUCGGGUUGUAAAGCACUUUCAGUCGUGAGGAAGGUGGUGUAGUUAAUAGCUGCAUUAUUUGACGUUAGCGACAGAAGAAGCACCGGCUAACUCCGUGCCAGCAGCCGCGGUAAUACGGAGGGUGCGAGCGUUAAUCGGAAUUACUGGGCGUAAAGCGCAUGCAGGUGGUUUGUUAAGUCAGAUGUGAAAGCCCGGGGCUCAACCUCGGAAUAGCAUUUGAAACUGGCAGACUAGAGUACUGUAGAGGGGGGUAGAAUUUCAGGUGUAGCGGUGAAAUGCGUAGAGAUCUGAAGGAAUACCGGUGGCGAAGGCGGCCCCCUGGACAGAUACUGACACUCAGAUGCGAAAGCGUGGGGAGCAAACAGGAUUAGAUACCCUGGUAGUCCACGCCGUAAACGAUGUCUACUUGGAGGUUGUGGCCUUGAGCCGUGGCUUUCGGAGCUAACGCGUUAAGUAGACCGCCUGGGGAGUACGGUCGCAAGAUUAAAACUCAAAUGAAUUGACGGGGGCCCGCACAAGCGGUGGAGCAUGUGGUUUAAUUCGAUGCAACGCGAAGAACCUUACCUACUCUUGACAUCCAGAGAACUUUCCAGAGAUGGAUUGGUGCCUUCGGGAACUCUGAGACAGGUGCUGCAUGGCUGUCGUCAGCUCGUGUUGUGAAAUGUUGGGUUAAGUCCCGCAACGAGCGCAACCCUUAUCCUUGUUUGCCAGCGAGUAAUGUCGGGAACUCCAGGGAGACUGCCGGUGAUAAACCGGAGGAAGGUGGGGACGACGUCAAGUCAUCAUGGCCCUUACGAGUAGGGCUACACACGUGCUACAAUGGCGCAUACAGAGGGCGGCCAACUUGCGAAAGUGAGCGAAUCCCAAAAAGUGCGUCGUAGUCCGGAUUGGAGUCUGCAACUCGACUCCAUGAAGUCGGAAUCGCUAGUAAUCGUGGAUCAGAAUGCCACGGUGAAUACGUUCCCGGGCCUUGUACACACCGCCCGUCACACCAUGGGAGUG
rnacentral:rRNA from 1 species